GCAAGGCAGCCCUUGUCCUGCCCUUCACAUGAGCUGUGAGGCCCAGCCAGGGUGGAGAUGUCCGUCUGUCUGACCCAGAGCCAUGGGCUGCCGGGCACCAGCCCCACCUGCAGGGACAAUAUCUGAGCAGCAAACUCGGGCAUAAUUAAAAAAUGGAAACCUUAAUGCAUUUUGACAGUCGUAAACACCCGAUGUGACUUCCAAGCAGUGGAAUGUUUCAUUGCCCCAGAAGGCUGCCUUCCUGCCUCCUCCAGGACAUGCCCCCGGCAGGGCAGCCAGUGUGCUCACCUCGUCUCCACAGGUCUGUUUGCUGCCGGUUGCCUGCUGCUGAUUUAAACGAACAGUCAGCCCCUCGGUUCCCACUGCGCUCACUCUGUGAACAGGACCUCUGAGUACGGAGACUGGGCUUGGGGUCUGGAAC